GCCACCUGAAAGAAGGGAGGAGACCAGAUUGUUCUCUGUGAAGCAACAUAAGUCAUCUGCAAAAUCCAUACUGGACAAAAUGAAGAAACAGAUUCUGAAGGAAAAGGGAAUCAAAGUAGACAAGAUCCACAGCUGGAAGGACAAAAUUCUGGCAUGUGGGGGCUCUGGAUUCAGAUCCGGUUUGAGCAAAAUAAUAAGCCCCUGCUUAACAGCAAAAUUGUUUAGCCAAUUGCAAAGUGGGAGGACUUAAGACUUUCCAGAUAAAGACAAGUGCCCAACUGAGAUGACAACCUUAUUGGAAGGAUGCUUGGUCCUCAUUAAUGAUAUCCAGGGAGAAUAAUCUUUGGAUUAGAAAGAACAGAAGAAAAAUGGCUAAUAACCAAGAUAAGAGAAAGUAAGCUGCCCUUGCUGAGUUCAAAUCACUUAGCCUCGAUGAACCACAUCCCAGGGUACCGAAAAUUGGCAGAUGGGAUUGCUGAGCCAUUGUCAAUGAUCUAUGAGGGACCAUGGUGAACUGGAGAGGAACGGCGGGAUUAUACAAAGCAAAUGUUCUCCUGAUCCUCAAAAAAGGGAAAAGAAAGAAAUUUUCUUGGAUGCAGAAAGAAGCCCAUGUGACCUGCCUAGAGAUUCACAGACUUGCACAGUAACAGCAGAACCCUCUCUCUGGGGACAGUCCACGUGGGACUGGUGAGAACAGUUAUUUCUUGAAAUCAGAAAGGAACCCAACGGCCUCUGUUACCUGAUGUAAAGUUUGAUAGCUUCUUGAAGACACUGAUAGUAGAUCCAUUUGAAAUCUGAAAGCAAAAAGAUAAAAGAUGGCUUAGUAUAUACAUUCUGGAAGAAAAUCUGAGAAUCCUAGAGCUAAAUGGGCCCUAAGAAGAAGCCAGGGCCAGGGGAUUCCUGGAAGGCAGGUUCAAUUUGGUGAUACAUUUGCAAGCCAGAUGCUUAUUGAACAUAUGACCCAAUAUGAAUUGGAUUACUUUUCUUCUGUGAGGUAAGGCUAUUUCUAAAUCAUCCUAGACAAAUAGUUAUCUACCUUUAAAAAAAAAUUAUGGGAAAAAAUACCUCUUUCUUCAUUCUUAUAUGAAGUUAUCUACCUACAUCUAAAGCAGGGUUCUUAACUUGGGGUCCCACAGAUUUUCAGGGAGUCCAUAUACUGGAGAGACAAAAGAAAUGGCAUUUUCAAUCCAGUACAAUGGGGUUCCUUCUUAAUGCUAUGUAUUUUAUUGAGAAAUUUAAAAACAAGAUUCUGAGACGGGUGGUCCUUACACAAAUAAAGAAAAAAUAAAGGGUGAACAAUUUCAGUCUAAAGGGGCAACAGCUGUAUGAUAUCU